UCUUUUCAGGUGUUGCAAGCUUUACGAAGGCUGAAAGGAAGCUCUAAUAGAAAGGAAAAGAUGUCAGCUGAAACAAAAAUUAUGUCUGAUCAACUAACUGAAGAUGCCAUGAAGCUGGUGGAGGAUGGUGACUACAAUGUGUAUGAUGAAAAACAGGAGGUCUUUCAGAGGGAAGCAGAGGGAUUUGAGAACCUAGCAUGUGCUAGAGGGGAAGGGACCUCUUCUAGUUCAGGAAACAAGCAACCUAAUUCCUCUGGAAUGAGUUAUAUAAAA